UACGGGGGGGGCAAGCGUUGUUCGGAAUUACUGGGCGUAAAGGGCUCGUAGGCGGCCAACUAAGACAUACGUGAAAUCCCUCGGCUUAACCGGGGAACUGCGUCUGAUACUGGAUGGCUUGAGUUCGGGAGAGGGAUGCGGAAUUCCAGGUGUAGCGGUGAAAUGCGUAGAUAUCUGGAGGAACACCGGUGGCGAAGGCGGCAUCCUGGACCGAUACUGACGCUGAGGAGCGAAAGCCAGGGGAGCAAACGGG
rnacentral:rRNA from 1 species